CGACGGAGCUGACGCUGAGGACGUAGCUUGCUAUUGAAUCUUGUUUAGCUUAGUGGCGGACGGGUGAGUAACGCGUGAGCAACCUGCCUUUCAGAGGGGGAUAACGUUUGGAAACGAACGCUAAUACCGCAUAAUAUUAUUGGAUCGCAUGGUCUGAUAAUCAAAGGAGCAAUCCGCUGAAAGAUGGGCUCGCGUCCGAUUAGGUAGUUGGCGGGGCAACGGCCCACCAAGCCGACGAUCGGUAGCCGGACUGAGAGGUUGAACGGCCACAUUGGGACUGAGACACGGCCCAGACUCCUACGGGAGGCAGCAGUGAGGGAUAUUGGUCAAUGGGGGAAACCCUGAACCAGCAACGCCGCGUGAGGGAAGACGGUUUUCGGAUUGUAAACCUCUGUCCUCUGUGAAGAUGAUGACGGUAGCAGAGGAGGAAGCUCCGGCUAACUACGUGCCAGCAGCCGCGGUAAUACGUAGGGAGCGAGCGUUGUCCGGAUUUACUGGGUGUAAAGGGUGCGUAGGCGGCUCUGCAAGUCAGAAGUGAAAUCUAUGGGCUUAACCCAUAAACUGCUUUUGAAACUGUGGAGCUUGAGUGAAGUAGAGGUAGGCGGAAUUCCCGGUGUAGCGGUGAAAUGCGUAGAGAUCGGGAGGAACACCAGUGGCGAAGGCGGCCUACUGGGCUUUAACUGACGCUGAGGCACGAAAGCGUGNGUAGCAUACAGGAUUAGAUNCCCUGGUAGUCCACGCCGUAAACGAUGAUUACUAGGUGUGGGUGGACU
rnacentral:rRNA from 1 species